rnacentral:rRNA from 1 species
CCCGCUCAGAAACUUAAAGGAAUUGACGGGGGCCCGCACAAGCGGUGGAGCAUGUGGUUUAAUUCGAUGAUACGCGAGGAACCUUACCUGGGCUCAAAUGUAUGUUGACGUAUUCUGAAAGGGAUACUUCUUCGGACAAUAUACAAGGUGCUGCAUGGUUGUCGUCAGCUCGUGCCGUGAGGUGUCGGGUUAAGUCCCCAUAACGAGCGCAACCCCUAUCAUUAGUUGCCAUCAGGUCAAGCUGGGGACUCUAAUGAAACUGCCUACGCAAGUAGUGAGGAAGGCGGGGAUGACGUCAAAUCAGCACGGCCCUUACGUCCAGGGCUACACACGUGCUACAAUGGCCGAUACAGAGGGCAGCUACCUGGUGACAGGAUGCAAAUCUCCAAAGUCGGUCUCAGUUCGGAUCGGAGUCUGCAACCCGACUCCGUGAAGUUGGAUUCGCUAGUAAUCGCGCAUCAGCCAUGGCGCGGUGAAUACGUUCCCGGGCCUU